rnacentral:rRNA from 1 species
AGAGUUUGAUCCUGGCUCAGAUUGAACGCUGGCGGCAUGCCUUACACAUGCAAGUCGAACGCGAAAGGGGGCAACCCCGAGUAGAGUGGCGAACGGGUGAGCAAUACAUCGGAACGUGUCCUGUAGCGGGGGACAACACAUCGAAAGAUGUGCUAAUACCGCAUACGAUCUACGGAUGAAAGUGGGGGACCGCAAGGCCCCACACUAUAGGAGCGGCCGAUGCCGGAUUAGCUUGUUGGCGGGGUAAAGGCCCACCAAGGCGACGAUCCGUAGCUGGUUUGAGAGAACGACCAGCCACACUGGGACUGAGACACGGCCCAGACUCCUACGGGAGGCAGCAGUGGGGAAUUUUGGACAAUGGGCGCAAGCCUGAUCCAGCCAUGCCGCGUGAGUGAAGAAGGCCUUCGGGUUGUAAAGCUCUUUCGGCCGGGACGAAAUGGCGCGGGGUAAUAUCCCGCGUUGAUGACGGUACCGGAAGAAGAAGGACCGGCUAACUACGUGCCAGCAGCCGCGGUAAUACGUAGGGUCCAAGCGUUAAUCGGAAUUACUGGGCGUAAAGCGUGUGCAGGCGGUUUCGAAAGUCCGAUGUGAAAUCCCCGGGCUUAACCUGGGAACUGCGUUGGAAACUACGAGGCUAGAGUGCGGCAGAGGGGGGUGGAAUUCCAGGUGUAGCAGUGAAAUGCGUAGAUAUCUGGAGGAACACCGAUGGCGAAGGCAGCCCCCUGGGUUAGCACUGACGCUCAUACACGAAAGCGUGGGGAGCAAACAGGAUUAGAUACCCUAGUAGUCC